AGUGAACGCUGGCGGUAGGCCUAACACAUGCAAGUCGAACGGCAGCACAGUAAGAGCUUGCUCUUACGGGUGGCGAGUGGCGGACGGGUGAGGAAUACAUCGGAAUCUACUUUUUCGUGGGGGAUAACGUAGGGAAACUUACGCUAAUACCGCAUACGACCUACGGGUGAAAGCAGGGGAUCUUCGGACCUUGCGCGAUUGAAUGAGCCGAUGUCGGAUUAGCUAGUUGGCGGGGUAAAGGCCCACCAAGGCGACGAUCCGUAGCUGGUCUGAGAGGAUGAUCAGCCACACUGGAACUGAGACACGGUCCGGACUCCUACGGGAGGCAGCAGUGGGGAAUAUUGGACAAUGGGCGCAAGCCUGAUCCAGCUAUACCGCGUGGGUGAAGAAGGCCUUCGGGUUGUAAAGCCCUUUUGUUGGGAAAGAAAAGCAGCAGGUUAAUACCCCGCUGUUCUGACGGUACCCAAAGAAUAAGCACCGGCUAACUUCGUG
rnacentral:rRNA from 1 species